UACGUAGGGGGCAAGCGUUGUCCGGAUUUAUUGGGCGUAAAGAGCGUGUAGGCGGCUUUACAGGUCCGUUGUGAAAACUCGAGGCUCAACCUCGAGACGCCGAUGGAAACCCUCAGACUAGAGUCCGGAAGAGGAGAGUGGAAUUCCUGGUGUAGCGGUGAAAUGCGCAGAUAUCAGGAAGAACACCCGUGGCUAAGGCGGCUCUCUAGUACGUGACUGACGCUGAGACGCGAAAGCGUGGGGAGCGAACAGG
rnacentral:rRNA from 1 species